rnacentral:ncRNA from 2 species
AAAUAUGAAUAUUCUUAAGGUUCCUCUGCAAUUGAGGAUCUUAAAGGGGAAGUCGGUGAAAAUCCGACGCGGUCCCGCCACUGUAAACAAGGAGUUCUCUUCAAGAUUAAAGCUGGGAAGAGGAAGAGAACGAUGACUUGAAGCCAGGAAACCUUGCCUUAAGAAACAUCACUGA